CUGGGUAUAGCGCAGAUGGUAGCGCGCAUGUAUGGGGUGCAUGAGGUCGCAAGUUCAAGUCUUGUUACCCAGACCA
rnacentral:tRNA from 2 species